AGCGAAUAAGGGACUAAAUUGAUAGGUAACAAAUAUAUUCUAGGGGAAAAUAGAAAUAGGAUGAAAAUAUGGGGGUGGGGUUUAACAGGGUUUGACGCGGCAGUUGGUCGGGGGAAAUCGCAACAAGCAUCAGCUCCGCGCACGUCUCCUUUCUAAUUCUAUCCAAACCCUAAAUUCCUCCAGACCAUCAAAACCUUCCCCACCACAACCACCACAGACGGCAAUUAAUUGGAGCCACCUCCUCCGUCUACUACCGGUACUCCCUCCUUCACUACCACACAAACCCAAACCUCCAUUUUGUGCGACACAAGCACUCGGUUCCACUUCCAGAUGGAGAUCGACAUCCGGCUCCUCGUCCUCCUCCCAAUGUUUUCUUCUUGAAUGUCGCACCCGAAUAUGACGAUGCACUCAAACAAGUUGAAGAUGAAAGUCUUUCAGCGGUUUUCUACUUCACCGAACGUCGGGGACCCAGUUCUGUCUUUUACUCGAGUGAUGAUCCAAUCUUGAAUUACAUGUGUGUGUUUUACCCACACAUUACAAAAUUUAGGGUUUGCUUUUUCAAGACUGCAGGUUGUUCCUCAUUGUACCGGUUGGGAGUUUACAAGACGCCAACUUUCCAUUUCUUUCUAAAAGGGGAAAAGGUUGAUGAACUUGCCAAACCUUCUAUCAGCAGCUUGUUAAAGACUCUCGCAAAUGUUUACAAUCCAUCUGGGAUGAAGAAAAGGAUAAUACAAGCUUAAAAAGGCGGAGUGGAUCCGUCACAACUUGUUGAGGUACUUCCGAUUAGUUUUGUUGCAUCGUCAUAUCCUAAAGCGAUGGAGGCAGUUGAGUCUUUACCUGGGGUAGAACCCGGUGACAGGCUAUGGUGGUUUGCAAAAGGGCUAUUUUUAUCUCAGGAGAAGAGAGAGACAUUUUCCAAGUUGGAAGAUGAGGAUGCCAAGCUUGAAUGGCUGUGUAGUGAGAUGGCUGAGGGGGAAGAAGGAGAGAUGUUUUCUAAUAAAUGGCUGUAUGCCAACAUGCCUUAGGUAUAAUGUGUUUAUUUAUAUUAGGAUUAUGAAUCAUGUUAUGUGAGGUUGUUGACACUAUGGUCCAGACCACUUAGUGUCCUGGUUUGGAAUUCGGAUAAUUAUGCAAGUAAAUGUAACGCUCGACUUGUUUGCUUAUUUACGUAAUAGCACUCGAUAAUAGUCGU